rnacentral:rRNA from 1 species
GACGAACGCUGGCGGCGUGCUUAACACAUGCAAGUCGAACGGAAAGACCCUGCUUUUGUGGGGUGCUCGAGUGGCGAACGGGUGAGUAACACGUGAGUAACCUGCCCUUGACUUUGGGAUAACUUCAGGAAACUGGGGCUAAUACCGGAUAGGAGCUCCUGCUGCAUGGUGUGGGUUGGAAAGUUUCGGCGGUUGGGGAUGGACUCGCGGCUUAUCAGCUUGUUGGUGGGGUAGUGGCUUACCAAGGCUUUGACGGGUAGCCGGCAUGAGUGGGUGACCGGCCACAUUGGGACUGAGAUACGGCCCAGACUCCUACGGGAGGCAGCAGUGGGGAAUAUUGCACAAUGGGCGGAAGCCUGAUGCAGCAACGCCGCGUGCGGGAUGACGGCCUUCGGGUUGUAAACCGCUUUCGCCUGUGACGAAGCGUGAGUGACGGUAAUGGGUAAAGAAGCACCGGCUAACUACGUG